rnacentral:rRNA from 1 species
AGAGUUUGAUCAUGGCUCAGGACGAACGCUGGCGGCGUGCUUAACACAUGCAAGUCGAACGGAAAGGCCCAGCUUGCUGGGUACUCGAGUGGCGAACGGGUGAGUAACACGUGGGUGAUCUGCCCUGAACUUUGGGAUAAGCCUGGGAAACUGGGUCUAAUACCGGAUAUGACCUUGGAGUGCAUGCUCUGGGGUGGAAAGCUUUUGCGGUUCAGGAUGGGCCCGCGGCCUAUCAGCUUGUUGGUGGGGUAAUGGCCUACCAAGGCGACGACGGGUAGCCGACCUGAGAGGGUGAUCGGCCACACUGGGACUGAGACACGGCCCAGACUCCUACGGGAGGCAGCAGUGGGGAAUAUUGCACAAUGGGCGCAAGCCUGAUGCAGCGACGCCGCGUGAGGGAUGACGGCCUUCGGGUUGUAAACUUCUUUCACCAGGGACGAAGCGCAAGUGACGGUACCUGGAGAAGAAGCACCGGCCAACUA